GCUCAGCGUUGCCAUUAUGCCAGGACUGGAGCUGGAACAGGAGGCCUUGGAGAGAGUCUGGAGUGUAGCCUGGCCUGCUGUGGAGCUGCUCUGGUCGGUCUCAAGCCUCAGACAAGACAAGGACACAGUUGGGCGGCUGAGAUGCGUAACACCACGACCCGGACCACAUGCCUCUGAGUGCAAAAAGUAUUCAGAAGCUUUGCUCGAUCGCCUGUAUUUUGACUGUUUCCUCUCAUCCUGAUUUUUUUUUUAAAGAUAGUGUCUCACUUUGUAGCCCUGGUGUUAUGCCCAGAUCAAGGAGUCCCCCAAAAACCAACAAGGAGACUGAGUCCUGUAUGUAAAAGCAAAGAGCCUUUCUUCUUAUUUAAGUUUGAACUCGGACUAUCUGUGGGUCCAAUGCAUUGGUGUGGUAGGAGAGCCCUGACAUUAGUUGGGAUGAGGUUUUUAUAAUAGCAGAGAUUGGGGUUAGGUAUUUCUAAGGUUCAGCAAGCCUGAUUGGCUGACAUUUCUCUAGGGAUGUCCUGGGGGAAAGUGAUGGGUGUGUGCUAGUCCAAGGGACGUCAAGUGGUCCUAUCUACAAUGGUUGAAACAUUAGGAAUUUCCUGUGGAUGAUCUGUUCCUGGGUGGUGCCUGGGUGUGUGGUCUUUCUUGGAACCAGGAAUUGCCUUAGACUUCUGAGACUAGGGCCUCUGUUGAGCUCGGUCAUUGCUGGGUCCUACACCUGUCUGUCCUGGAACUUUCUAUGUAGACUAUGUAGACCUGUUUGACUGUGCUUUUGCCCUAUGCACUUGGUACUGAGUGACCCUAACUGUGGAACAGCACCUCCACCCAAUGGCAGACCUUUGUAGGCACCUUCACAGUGGACUCUCUGAUGGAAGUGCCAUUCAGGACAUAAAACUCAGCACGUAAACACCACCACCUGCCAAAAUGAAAAGAAACAUCUCAUCCUUCAAAGUCCAUAGUUCCAGGAAAGUCUAAAUGUACUAACCUUAUUUUUUUAGCCUCUGUAGUUCCACUAACUGUUCUUGCUAACUGAGGUCAACCCAGGGCAUGGUUUCUGUGCUUAAUGGCUCACCCUGGGAAAGUCUCCCAGCUACACUGGGGUCCUGAACAACCAGUGUAGAUGCUGGCCAGCUAUAAAAACUUUCUAUUGGCUUAAAACUUCUUUGGUGAAUACCCCACAAUAGUACUUUUGUCUGCCUGAAACUACCUUUUCUCCCUAGUGAAACAGAAUGUUCUGUAGGUUUUUUUUUGGGGGGGGGUGCAACACCCAGCUCCCAAAUAAAUACAGAGAGACUUACUCUUACUUAUGAGUGCCUGGCCUUGUCUUGGCUUGUUUCUAGCCAGCUUUUCUACCUUAAUUAACUUUAACUAUGUUUUGCCUCUGAGCUUUUUACCUUUCUUUAAUCUAUAUAUCUUUCUUUCCUUCUUAUUCCAUGACUGGUUGUGUGGAGGGUGGCUGUCCCUUGUGCCCUCCUCUCCUCCUUUUGUUGCUACUCCCCUUUCUUGUCCUUUUAUAGCCUAGAUUUCUCUUCCCAUUUAUUCCCUCUGCCUGAUACCCCCACCUAUUUCUCUCUCCUGCUGAUUGGCUCUUCAACUCUUUAUUAGACCAAUCAAGUGUUUGAGGCCGAGGAAAGUAACACAGCCUUACAGAGUUAAACAAGUGCCACGUAAAAGAACGCAGCACACCUUUGCACGAUCAAACAAAUGUUCUACGGCAUAAAUGAAUGUAACACAUCUUAAUCUAAUAGUGCACAACAGUGUGAAGACCCAAAGUUCCUCCAUUUUGUCCUCUGCCUCCUUCUUGUGUCUCGUGUAAGCUAUUUCCCAUAACACAUUCCGGUCCUCAGAAAUGGCUAGGGGCAAUAGUAACAGGGGAGCCAUCUGGAGAGUACAGAUAAUCACGGAAUGUCACCACACGAAGGUCAGCCAAUAAGGAAACUUGACAAGCAACAGGCGAGGUUCAAAAAUAAAACUUUUGAAAAAUCCCUAGAUACGAAACAAUCAGGUCUGAACCCGUCACCCCACACCCUGCCAAGGUAACUUUUUUGGGUUUUACCUUUAAAUAAUGCCCUCUAGAAGGGCGGGGCACCUCCUCUUGCUGCUGCUGUGCCCGUUGCUUUGAGGAGGUCCUUGCUGACUUGUAUUGUACACAUAAUAAAUCUUGCCUUUGCAUUUCAGUGA